UACGGAGGGUGCAAGCGUUAUCCGGAUUCACUGGGUUUAAAGGGAGCGUAGGUGGGUUGGUAAGUCAGUGGUGAAAUCCCCGAGCUUAACUUGGGAAUUGCCAUUGAUACUAUCAGUCUUGAAUACUGUGGAGGUUAGCGGAAUAUGUCAUGUAGCGGUGAAAUGCUUAGAUAUGACAUAGAACACCAAUCGCGAAGGCAGCUGGCUACACAAUUAUUGACACUGAGGCUCGAAAGCGUGGGGAUCAAACAGG
rnacentral:rRNA from 1 species